UAAUUCUUGAAGCAAAUAAAUUUUUUGUUGAAUUUCUUUCAUUUCAUCAUCAACCAGCAUCGUGCAAAUAGUUGCUUUAUUUUGAUAGUUUUGGUACUGGUAGUGAAAUCGCAUUGAAAACAAGUUGAAGAAAAUGAGUCGAAAAUGGGAAACUGAUACUGGCCAACUGUACAAGAUUUGACAAAGUUACAUGCUGUAUUUCGUAUCCACUGAUAGGUAAUCAUGGAGAAUACGAAGAGGAUGUUAGAGCAAAAUAAGGACUAAUUUGUCUAAUCCUGGAGAACUGAUUAUGGGAAUGUGGCAACAAAAUAAGGACAAGGACUGAUUGUUGUGAUCUUCAGGGUCACCUUUGGGCACUCAAACACCAGCUACAAUACCUGGUACCACUGCAUCUACCAGAAUGACCACCAACAGCAGCUCUCUGUCAAAUCAGGAACUGAACUCUUUGUCUAAUUUUUCCACUGAGGGGGUUCCAGUUGAGGAAGUUCCUUAGAUUCCAGCAGCAUCUUGUCUGGCAAUCUAAUACCUGCACAAUCAGCCAAUGAUUAAUAUUAGUAUACAUCCUAUGGAUAUCACAGCAAAUGACAGUGUAGGAUAAAAACAGACAACAUGGAUAUCACACAUAACAUAAGAAAUAUAUGUUUUCGCCAUGCGAAAGAUAAAAUUGAUUCUUGGUUGAAGAAAUUUUUAGAAAGUUGAAAUUGUAGCCUGAUCACAUUAAAAAAAUGGAAACUGAAAAUCAAAAUAAUAAAAGUAUUUGAAAUUGAUUAUGAAACUAUGCAGGGGAGCUGAGCAUGCUAAUCUUAAAUUCAAAAUGGGACAGAAUGUAACCACAUUGAUUAAUGGAAAGUACUUAUUGAAAGUUAACGGAUUUGUCUAACAAAUCAAGAGCUAAAAAAAAAUUUUAUUUUUGUAUCCUUUAAGCAGCGCUCCCUUCUGUUUGGUUUUAUCUGAUGGGUUUUGGUAUUAUGUACAUAUAAAUCAAUAGAAGUAUUCCGGCCAUUUCAACACCUUACAGCAUUAUAUGGUAGAAACAUUUUGCUUAUAUAUAAGACCAUUUCUUCCAAGGCAGUUGAAAAAUGAAAAAACAAAUGCCAAACAAGUACCCACAUGUGUUCAUCAUCUAAGAGACAGAACAUGAAGUAGUGAGACGACUACAAGUUCUGAGCAAAAAAGAAGUUUUGAAACUUGCAUGUGACAAAUUAUCAUCACAUUUUGAGGUUAGUUGAAGAAUACCGCUGAGUCACAAAGCAGGACCGUGAUUUUACGUUAGUUGAAGAAUGGCGUACAAAACCUGAUUCUUUGUCAGAACGUGAUGACACUAGUUACAGAACAGGAAUGUGAUUUUAUAUGCGAUGAAAAAUAUUCAAGCAAGCCAGUUCCGAAUGUGAAUUUUUAAAUAUUGGGUUGAUAAAAAUUGAAUAAAAUAUUUUACCAAAGCUA
rnacentral:misc_RNA from 1 species